AUAGGCGAAAGCUUGACAGGGUUACUCUGAGUGGUUUCCGCUACGUUAGAUCUUUUGACACCUCUAAAAAUGGUGUAGAAUUAAGGUGUGGCAAGUCUGUGUCAGCCGCCGCGUAAUACCAGCACCCCGAGUGGUCGGGACGAUUUAUUUGGGCCUAAGCAUCCGUAGCCGGUCCUAACAAGUUCUUCCGUUUAAAUCCACCUGCUUAACAGAUGGGCUGCGGAAGAUACUAUAGGGCUAGGAGGCGGGGAGAGGCAAGCGGUACUCAGUGGGUAGGGGUAAAAUCCUCUGAUCCAUUUGAAGACCACCAGUGGCGAAGGGGGGCUUGCCAGAAACGCGCUCGACGGUGAGGGAUGAAAGCUGGGGGGAGCAAACCGGGAUUAGAUACCCGGGUAGUCCCAGCUGUAAACGAUGCAGACUCGGUGAUGGGUUGGCCUUGUGCCAACCCAGUUGCCGCAGGGAAAGCCGUUAAGUCUGCCGCCUGGGGGAGUACGGGUCGCAAGACUGAA
rnacentral:rRNA from 1 species